UGCAGCCACCUGGCAGCUUGUCAAACGUUAGCCGCAUGUGCCAGGUUUUUGAACCUGCAAACGAAAACAGUAGUUUAACGCAACGUUAAUGACUUCGUCUCGCCCAACAUUUCGAAAAGCACCAGAGGGCGUCCGUGUUUGAGUCGGAUGUGUGCUUUCAUAUUGUCUUUUCUCGUGAACGACUGCUGGCACAAUGGACACCGAUUCGAUUGCGGACGAUGUAUGGAAGAGUGAUGCCAACGAUUGCUCACUGUUUUUCCACAUAUUUUACAAUUGUACAGACUAGGCGAAUCCGAUAUCUUGUCGAACAUCUCGCAAUAAUCGGCGGCCGGCGCGCGAGUCUCUACGAUCGUCGGUAUUUUCGUUUCGUAGCUCAUUUGUUCUGGAUGAUAGAAAGAUGAUGGUUGGUACGCCUGUCCCUGUUCCUGCCACGUAGCUGGAACAGAGAGAGGACCCAUCAUCACCAUCUACCAAAACAAUAGCAAUAUCACAGCAAUAUUCUAUUGUCUUUUCAAUUGCAACUGACUGCAAGCAAAAAUUCAAUGCAUAAGCGGUUAGUGUUUUGCGAGAUUUAUCGCAUACAUUUUUUCGUUAUGUUAUAAAUAAACAUUACUCUUAUGAUGUGUGUACAGUUUGUAAAAGCAGUUUCUGGAAAUGUGUGUUAAAUAUAUCAAGUGACGACUGAAAUAAAUUUAUAACGAUAUUUAUACUGCCUCUUAAAUAAGGUCCUAAAAAUUUUACAAUUUUGGUGACGUUGAAAUAACAGCUUUAUUAAAGUUUUAUUAAAAAAAAUCAAUCAAUGAAACUCUUGUGCAACUAGGAAAAUUUAUUAAACAACGUGAAACGACAAAUUAUAAAUACUUUAAUUUUUUGCUUAGGCAUGUUGAAAGUAGUAAAACUAAUGAAUAAGAAGUUUAAAUUAUUUUUAUUAACUAGUGAUUUAAAUGCUAACAAUAGUUAAGUCACCAUUUUAUGCCUGGCAAACUAGGUGAACAACUGAAAGCUGCAUAUAGUUUUUACUGAAUCCAAUCUUUGUAAAUGCAUGAUAUUUGUACUUGUAGAUGCAAUGCAUCAACUUUAAGUAUCAAUAUUGUAUUUAUAUAUUACAUGUAUAUCUUCAUGACCAAAAAGAUCGCCAGUGUGCAAAACCAAGAGCUGCACAACUCUAAUAUAACUUACAUAACUUAUCGAAAUGCCCUAUUUUUAAGUCACAUAAAAUCUAGUUGUUUCAACAACGAACUUUCACUAAAAAAGUGACAAUGAAGAUAUCAUAAAAAAAAACGAAAAACAAAAAAAAUCAAAAGAUUAGAGUAUCAUAAAUAAUAAUGAGAAAUUUAGGAACAAGAUAAUCGUUCAAACCUGCAAUGCAUUAAUGCGGCUAAAAAGACGAACUAUAAUCGUCAUAACAGAGAAUACCCAAGGGUCGCGAAACGUCACGAACAAACAGCGGAUUUCAGGGGGUGACCCGGCAAACCACCAGUACAAUGACGCACCUAAACCUCCCGUCGGACCGUUUAACUUUCAGAUGGCUAAAUGAAAGGUUAGUUUUUCCUUCAAAUUGACGCAUAUUCAGCGGCAUCGAUUUUACACAUUAGAUAUAAAACCCAACAUUACAAACACAGUUGUACAGACGACAAUUUAGGAAAAAAAAAAAAACAUUUAGUUACUUGAACUGCAAUCGAACCUUACUACAUGCAGCUACGGUGGCAGCCUAUGGACCACUUGAAGUUACCCGGUUUAGUCCGCUCUCUGCUCAUGAAAUUAAAUUAGACACUAACUUUGGGAAUCGUUACCAUUAUCCUACAAUAUAUCCACGUGACUACUUCAUUCACUGUUAACUGAAUACGGGCAAAUAACAGUUGAGGUGAAAUAAGGUAUAAAAUUGGAGGAGAAAUCUAAACCUUAUGCUCGCAGUGAUUCUGCGGAAAUAAUAAAAAAAUAAACAAUGUAUACAAUGUUCAUGUAUUGUGUAUAUUAACAAUAAAUGAGACGUUCUAAACAAAAAACAAUGAUUAUUAAACAUUACGUUUUCUUCAAAGAAAACCAACUAAAAUUAUUUUCUUAUGUAUGUUGCGGUUAAAUAUAGUUAAAUUAAUCAGUUAAGUUUAAAACGUAAUGCAUACCUACAUAACAGUUGGUACGUCAUUUACGCAAUAAUUUGUUUUCCAAUAGUUUUAAAGAAAAUUACAGUUCGUUACAUAACUUUGUCGAGAAUAAUUUUUACUGGACUGCUAAGACGAAAUGUAAGUCUACACUAAAACGUUUCACGUGCGAAAAAAAAAUGCUCUAGUAUAUCAGUGCUACAAGGUUUUAAUGUCCUAGAAUAAAAAUCAUUUAUUAAGUCAAGUAUGUUCUCUAACUAAUGAUAAGCAAUAACCUGAAUAACAUUUAAACGGUUUAAACUAAUACCUAAUUUGGAUAAGUAGCUAGUGGCAAGGCAUAUACUUCACGAAAUAUUCAUAAAGAUUCUAAAGGAUUAACUUCUUAUAUGUUGAAUAUGCAAGAAGUUUUGUAAAUGAAAUAAACAAGGAUUUAACAUCACAGAUUAUAAUAAAGACUUUUGAUUUUGCGUUUUCAUCUCUUGGACGUUUUUGCUAAAAAUUACUGUUUCUAGUAAAUCGACAAACUGUUUAUUAAACAAAAUAAUUUAUUAAGAUUCUUCCAACAACCAGGAAGACUUCAAUUUUUGAGUUAAUUGUUAAAAAACAUUUGUAUUGUUACUUCUUGGUACUAAUCUCCCAUACUACCUAUUAUUUAAGUUUGUGUUAACCAACUGAGCGAAAAUAAAUCGUAUUGUGAUUCGAAUCGAAGCUCAACAACGACGAAUUGUUUGCCAAAUGACUUCGUCAUUUUUAUUUUUAAAAGAAAACGGCAGCUUCUAGCAGAAAAGUGCAAGAGGUAAAAAAAUAGCUAAGAACACUUUACGGUUUCGAUCGCGACUUGCCUUACAUACGAAAAAAUAUUUCACGUUAAACAAUUAAGAAAACAGGACAAAACUAAACAAUAGUACGAAAAUUUGAUGAAAUACGUCCCCGGAAUAACAUUUCUUGCCAACUAACUUGAUAAACUGAAGUGUAGAAUUUUUAGAACCGUAUACUACUAUAUAUUUUAAAAUGUAAAAGCUUCUUUGUCAUUGGAAAAAUAGGUCAACCUGGUUUCUCAAAUCUUGUUUUAAGCCAAUAUUCUACUCUUGGUUCAAACCAUCGAGUGGCAACAAACAUAUGUUUUAUAAAAGGUACAAAGAUUGAGAUAAAGAGUGUAAUACUAGCAACUGUUUCAAAGUUCUAUGCUUAAUUUUUAUCUA